rnacentral:rRNA from 1 species
UACGGAGGGUGCAAGCGUUGUCCGGAAUUAUUGGGUUUAAAGGGUGCGUAGGCGGUCUUUUAAGUCAGAGGUGAAAUCCCACAGCUUAACUGUGGAACUGCCUUUGAUACUGGAAGACUUGAGUAUAGUAGAGGUAGGCGGAAUUGAAGGUGUAGCGGUGAAAUGCAUAGAUAUCUUCAAGAACACCAAUUGCGUAGGCAGCUUACUGGACUAUAACUGACGCUGAGGCACGAAAGCAUGGGGAGCGAAC